AUUGAACGCUGGCGGCAUGCCUUACACAUGCAAGUCGAACGGCAGCGCGGGGCAACCUGGCGGCGAGUGGCGAACGGGUGAGUAAUAUAUCGGAACAUACCCUAGAGUGGGGGAUAACGUAGCGAAAGUUACGCUAAUACCGCAUACGCACUAAGGUGGAAAGUGGGGGAUCUUCGGACCUCAUGCUCAUGGAGUGGCCGAUAUCUGAUUAGCUAGUUGGUGAGGUAAAGGCUCACCAAGGCGACGAUCAGUAGCUGGUUUGAGAGAACGACCAGCCACACUGGAACUGAGACACGGUCCAGACUCCUACGGAGGCAGCAGUGGGAAUUUUGGACAAUGGGGGCAACCCUGAUCCAGCAAUGCCGCGUGAGUGAAGAAGGCCUGGUUGUAAGAC
rnacentral:rRNA from 1 species